rnacentral:tRNA from 1 species
AGGAUAAUAGUUUUAAAACGUUUAAUUUGCACUUAAAAAAUAUUGCUUAGCAAUUUAUCUUA